UAAGCGGGUAGUGAAAUCUUGUGGCUCAACCACAAGGCUAUUACCUGAACUGACAAGCUUGAGUAUGGUAGAGGUCACUGGAAUUCCAAGUGUAGGAGUGAAAUCCGUAGAUAUUUGGAGGAACACCGAUGGCGUAGGCAGGUGACUGGACCAUAACUGACACUAAGGCACGAAAGCGUGGGUAGCAAACGGGAUUAGAUACCCCGGUAGUCCACGCCCUAAACGAUGGAUGCUA
rnacentral:rRNA from 1 species